rnacentral:lncRNA from 1 species
AGUCUAAGAUGUCACCGCCAAACAUGAAAAAAGGAAAGAGAAAUAGAAAUAUCAUAGGUAAUUACAUUACAAACAAAUUAUGAAUUGUUUUCAACUUAUGUACCAAACCCAGUGGGUGAAUUGGCAACUAAGUAUAGACAAUAGAAUUCCCAAAUAGUUGAUAAUAUGAUGCAAGGUGCACUGCCUAUGAAAGAAUGAAACUUGGUUAGUUUGAUGAAUUGACAUCUUCCUUCCCCAAGUACAAUAUUCUCUAUAUUUAAUCACAAAUAUCUAUCUCCUCUACACAGCCAGAAGGAUGACCACUUUCUGUUACUAUGAGGAUGAUACAUGCCACCCAAAGGGGAAAAUGGUUUUGUGAAGUCACAAACAAUUAGUCAUAGAAAGAAUCCUGUAUAAUCCAAGACAAUGAAAGGGAAUUUAAAUAAUAUGAAAAUUUGAAAGACUAGAAUCUAGAUGACACUUGAUACAAGGCUGAUAAAUCAAAAUAGGGUGAAGGGUGACUUACUUCUGAUUAAUCUUAUCAAAUUCUGCCAAGAGAAGGUCCAUUCCUUUCUUAUCAUCUCUCAGUAGAGGUUUUUUCAACUCCUUUUCAACUUUGUCCAAUGCUUCCAUCAUCAUAGCCUCAGCGCCAAGAUCAUCCGUAAGACCAUCCCUGUAAAAUAGUAUAUAAAUAAAAUAUAAAAUGCCACGUGAAAAGAACUCAAGAUAUAAAGACAAGGGAUGUUUGGCGUUAUGUUGCCUUAAAACAAGAGAACAACAAGUACAAGAAUUACAUAACACAUAUCAUACCUAUUCUUGAACUUAGCAUAAAGAACAAAGCAUAACAAUAAAAUGACAAAGGUAACACAUGAACAAGCACAUAUACAGUUACUAAUGGAUAUAGUAGAAUAGAUCAUCACGGACUUGAUUCUUAUUUCCCGCAAGGUUAAAAGAUAAGUGCGAGCAUCAGGAAUAUCUUGUGUUUCCAUUUCAAUGAUUCCUUUGAUACUUUGGGACUCUGAGAGCAAGUUUGCCCUGCAGGAUGAACAAGGCAUUAUAAUCAGAACUUUUUAUAAUAAUAAUAAUAAUAGUAUUGAGCAGAGAAUUACAAUAAAACAAAAACUAAAAGAGAGUCUUACUUUUGCCUAACAGUUUUCAUGACAUUUGCGUACUGAGAAACAGCAGCUGGAUCAUCUGGAUCAAUGGUAAUCUUUUCCUUCUUUAAUAUUCCCAUGGCAGUCUCAAACUUGUUCUUCAACUCCACAAAAAUGUUCUUUAGCAUCUCUAUUUCCCCAUUCAAUGAAGAGUGCAUUGUCAGACAGUGACAGAAAAGACAAAAAAGGAAAGNNNNNNNNNNNNNNNNNNNNNNNNNNNNNNNNNNNNNNNNNNNNNNAAUAAAUCGAAAUAAGACUCGAUGAAAGUCUAACUACUAGAAUAAAUAGAGCCCAAAAUCUCACAUCAUCAAUGAGCUCUCGUAAGCUCAAAUUACCACUGGUGGAUAAGAAAUCAAUUUGAUAAAAAAAAAUAAUACAGAUAUACGGGAGAACUGACCAUCUCCCUUGAGGGAAGGAGGGGCAGACCCUUUGGCAAAGUGACGAACAGGAAUAGCAUGCUCCUUUUGCAGAAAUACUUGACUGGCAUAGACCUAUAAGAAGAGAGAGAAAAUUCAGCCAGAGAAAUGAGAUGGGGAAAACAUAUAUCAGUAAGAUAGGGUGUCAUGAGCAAUACCUCUUCAAUUGCGUUUCCAUUGCCUCAAAAGCUUCUUUCUUCAGUUCCUGCAGUUGUGCUUUGGCUAUUUUAAGCUCUAGCUGAUCUUCCAACUUUGGUAGAUCUUCUUUCCGAAUUCCAAGUCUAAGAUGUCACCGCCAAACAUGAAAAAAGGAAAGAGAAAUAGAAAUAUCAUAGGUAAUUACAUUACAAACAAAUUAUGAAUUGUUUUCAACUUAUGUACCAAACCCAGUGGGUGAAUUGGCAACUAAGUAUAGACAAUAGAAUUCCCAAAUAGUUGAUAAUAUGAUGCAAGGUGCACUGCCUAUGAAAGAAUGAAACUUGGUUAGUUUGAUGAAUUGACAUCUUCCUUCCCCAAGUACAAUAUUCUCUAUAUUUAAUCACAAAUAUCUAUCUCCUCUACACAGCCAGAAGGAUGACCACUUUCUGUUACUAUGAGGAUGAUACAUGCCACCCAAAGGGGAAAAUGGUUUUGUGAAGUCACAAACAAUUAGUCAUAGAAAGAAUCCUGUAUAAUCCAAGACAAUGAAAGGGAAUUUAAAUAAUAUGAAAAUUUGAAAGACUAGAAUCUAGAUGACACUUGAUACAAGGCUGAUAAAUCAAAAUAGGGUGAAGGGUGACUUACUUCUGAUUAAUCUUAUCAAAUUCUGCCAAGAGAAGGUCCAUUCCUUUCUUAUCAUCUCUCAGUAGAGGUUUUUUCAACUCCUUUUCAACUUUGUCCAAUGCUUCCAUCAUCAUAGCCUCAGCGCCAAGAUCAUCCGUAAGACCAUCCCUGUAAAAUAGUAUAUAAAUAAAAUAUAAAAUGCCACGUGAAAAGAACUCAAGAUAUAAAGACAAGGGAUGUUUGGCGUUAUGUUGCCUUAAAACAAGAGAACAACAAGUACAAGAAUU